CCUACGGGUGGCAGCAGUGGGGAAUAUUGCACAAUGGGGGAAACCCUGAUGCAGCGACGCCGCGUGAGUGAAGAAGUAUUUCGGUAUGUAAAGCUCUAUCAGCCGGGAAGAUAAUGACGGUACCUGACUACGAAGCCCCGGCUAACUACGUGCCAGGAGCCGCGGCACCACGCAGGGGGCAAGCGUUAUCCGGAUUUACCGGGUGUAAAGGGAGCGUAGGGGGGAGGGCAAGUCAGGUGUGAAAACCCGGGGCCCAACCCCGGGGGUGCAGUUGAAACUGUCCAGCUGGAGUGGAGGAGAGGUAAGCGGAAUGCCUGGUGUAGCGGUGAAAUGCAUAGAUAUUAGGAGGAACACCAGUGGCGAAGGCAGCUUACUGGACUGUAACUGACACUGAGGCUCGAAAGCGUGGGGAGCGAACAGGAUUAGAUACCCUAGUAGUC
rnacentral:rRNA from 1 species